AUGGAUGUAUUACAGUCACGGUCGGCAGACCUAUCAAUUUCUCGAGUCCUGAAAAAAGGCCACAAAUAUGACCAAAAAUAUCCAUGGCAUGAUGAUCGUUUGUCUGCUGUUGUACAUGUGUCAUCGAUGCAACUAGGAGCAAUGUCAGAAAGCCAAGGCAUGAGUCUAUCGACGAUCCUAACAUAUCGUAAUAUCAUACUAUAUGGGCAUGGAAUUCUGAACGAGUUGUCAUUUCGUUUGCUCAUUUUUUCGCCCUCUAACAUAUCAUUUAUCCCGAUGCCUUCCAUUGUCAGAGCUCUUCGCCAUGUUCUUGACCGGGAACCGCUAUUUUAA
rnacentral:rRNA from 1 species